CAGCCGGGUGCGGUGAUCGUGCUGCAUCUCUAGCGUCCCGACGCCCCUUGGGGAGCGCGAAGAGUGCAGCGCCCUUGGAAGCCAGCUUUGAGAAAGGCACCUGACCUCCCAGGACCUCAGGAGGCGCCCCCGAGAAACCCGGCCGCACCGUCGGCGCGCGUCUCAGACAUCUAUCUUCAUGGAGUCUACAGACCCUCUUUGGGAUGAGGGGUCAUAGGAGAACUAUUGACUCUUUUUAAGCAAUAAUCAUGGCUGGAUUCGUGUUUUAGGAUAAUCUCCCUGGCUCCUGUGUGGAGUGGAUUCAGAAGGCUUUGGCUGUUGUUUUCAGAGAGCUUGUGUUUG